CGGAGGGGGCAAGUGUUGUUCGGAAUUACUGGGCGUAAAGGGCGCGCAGGCGGCUUGGCAAGUCGAGUGUGAAAUACCUCAGCUUAACUGAGGAAUGGCGCUCGAAACUACCUCGCUUGAGGGCGGGAGAGGGAAGUGGAACUCUCGGUGUAGGGGUGAAAUCUGUAGAUAUCGAGAGGAACACCGGUGGCGAAGGCGGCUUCCUGGCCCGUACCUGACGCUGAGGCGCGAAAGCGUGGGGAGCAAAACAGGAUUAGAUACCCUGGUAGUCCACGCCCUAAACGAUGGGCACUAGGUGUGGCGGUAUUAAUCCGCCUGUGCCGUAGCUAACGCAUUAAGUGCCCCGCCUCGGGGAGUACGGUCGCAAGGCUG
rnacentral:rRNA from 1 species